GAUGAACGCUGGCGGCGUGCCUAAUACAUGCAAGUAGAACGCUGAAGGAAGGAGCUUGCUCUUUCCGGAUGAGUUGCGAACGGGUGAGUAACGCGUAGGUAACCUGCCUGGUAGCGGGGGAUAACUAUUGGAAACGAUAGCUAAUACCGCAUAACAGUAGAUGUUGCAUGAUAUCUACUUAAAAGGUGCAAUUGCACCACUACCAGAUGGACCUGCGUUGUAUUAGCUAGUUGGUGAGGUAACGGCUCACCAAGGCGACGAUACAUAGCCGACCUGAGAGGGUGAUCGGCCACACUGGGACGGAGACACGGCCCAGACGCCUACGGGAGGCAGCAGUAGGGAAUCUUCGGCAAUGGACGGAAGUCUGACCGAGCAACGCCGCGUGAGUGAAGAAGGUUGUCGGAUCGUAAAGCUCUGUUGUAAGAGAAGAACGAGUGUGAGAGUGGAAAGUUCACACUGUGACGGUAUCUUACCAGAAAGGGACGGCUAACUACGUG
rnacentral:rRNA from 1 species